rnacentral:siRNA from 1 species
ACCCUCUCUGGCGCCCCUUUCCA